AUUGAACGCUGGCGGCAUGCUUUACACAUGCCAGUCGAACGGCAGCGCGGGCUUCGGCCUGGCGGCGAGUGGCGAACGGGUGAGUAAUGCAUCGGAACGUGCCCAGUAGUGGGGGAUAGCCCGGCGAAAGCCGGCUUAAUACCGCAUACGACCUGAGGGUGAAAGCGGGGGACCGAAAGGCCUCGCGCUAUUGGAGCGGCCGAUGUCGGAUUAGCUAGUUGGUGGGGUAAAGGCUUACCAAGGCGACGAUCCGUAGCUGGUCUGAGAGGACGACCAGCCACACUGGGACUGAGACACGGCCCAGACUCCUACGGGAGGCAGCAGUGGGGAAUUUUGGACAAUGGGGGCAACCCUGAUCCAGCCAUGCCGCGUGCGGGAAGAAGGCCUUCGGGUUGUAAACCGCUUUUGUUCGGGAAGAAAUCCUCUGGGCUAAUACCCCGGGGGGAUGACGGUACCGGAAGAAUAAGCACCGGCUAACUACGUG
rnacentral:rRNA from 1 species